UACCAGCUCUCCGAGUGGUGUGGAUGUUUAUUGGGCCUAAAGCAUCCGUAGCUGGCUGGACAAGUCCCCUGUUAAAUCCACCGAUUUAAUCGUUGGUGUGCGGGGGAUACUGUUCGGCUAGGGGACGGGAGAGGCCGACGGUAUUUCCGGGGUAGGGGUGAAAUCCUAUAAUCCCGGGAAGACCACCAGUGGCGAAGGCUGUCGGCUAGAACGCGCCCGACGGUGAGGGAUGAAAGCUGGGGGAGCGAACCGGAUUAGAUACCCGGGUAGUCCCAGCUGUAAACGAUGCAGGCUAGGUGUUUGGGCGGCCACGUGCCGCUCUAGUGCCGCAAGGAAGCUGUUAAGCCUGCCGCCUGGGGAGUACGGCCGCAAGGCUGAAACUUAAAGGAAUUGGCGGGGGAGCACCACAAGGGGUGAAGCUUGCGGUUU
rnacentral:rRNA from 1 species